rnacentral:rRNA from 1 species
UGGGGAAUAUUGGACAAUGGGCGCAAGCCUGAUCCAGCCAUGCCGCGUGAGUGAUGAAGGCCCUAGGGUUGUAAAGCUCUUUCACCGGUGAAGUUAAUGACGGUAACCGGAGAAGAAGCCCCGGCUAACUUCGUGCCAGCAGUCGCGGUAAUACGAAGGGGGCUAGCGUUGUUCGGAUUUACUGGGCGUAAAGCGCACGUAGGCGGACUAUUAAGUCAGGGGUGAAAUCCCGGGGCUCAACCCCGGAACUGCCUUUGAUACUGGUUGUCUUGAGUUCGAGAGAGAUGUGUGGAAUUCCGAGUGUAGAGGUGAAAUUCGUAGAUAUUCAGAGGAACACCAGUGGCGAAGGCAGCUCACUGACUCGAUACUGACGCUGAAGUGCGAAAGCCUGAUGAGCAAGCAGG